rnacentral:misc_RNA from 1 species
AACCCCAACUGGGUCAGAAGUAGCUUCUCCAAGUUUGCCAUCUCCGCUGUGUACCCCUAUGGCUGCUGGCCUUUCCAUGAAGAGAUCAAUCCAACGGUUCCUCCAGAAAAGGAAGCAUAGGGUCCAAGCGAUUUCUCCUUACAAUCAUUAAUAUUAAUUAACCUUAAUAUUAUGCAUGGAGCAUGGGCUUUUGACGCUCAUAUAUAGUUGAGAAAGUAAAAUUUUCAGUAUAGAAUUAAA